GCAUCACUUCACGAGCUGAGGAAGCUGGGAAAGGGUCUUCGCUCUUGCAGAUCUAUAUCCCUCUGUUAGCUUGCUUCAUUUGGUUAGUGGAAUCAGGCCUAAGCUUGAGAGGCUGCAUAAACAAGCCGACAGAAUAAUAGAAAACAUCAUCAACGAACAUCAGAAAGAUCUUGAAACUACAAAAAAUGUUGAGGGCGAGAAAGUGGAAGAUCUUGUACAUGUUCUCCUAAAAUUUCACGAACAUGGCGGUGCGCUUGAAUUUUCACUUACUACUAACAACAUCAAAGCAGUAAUCUUUGUGAGUACACUUUCUGUUCAUAUCAAUGAUAUCAUGCUUUAAUAAGUCAAAUCAGUUUUCGAUUUCAGUUUUAUUACCCCAGUUCUUGUUUCUGAAUAUACGAUCUCAGAAUAAUAUGAAUUCUUGUUUCUGGUUAAUUAUUAGUCUUUCUGAAUUCUAAUUCUACAUGAACCUUUUUCAGGAUAUUUUCUCGGCUGGGAGUGAGACAUCAGCUACAACUGUAGAUUGGGCAAUUUCAGAAAUGAUGAAAAAUCCAAGAGUAAUGAAAAAGGCACAGCGUGAGGUGAGGGAAGUGUUUAAUCGAAAAGGGAAGGCAGAUGAAACAAGCAUCAGAGAGAUGAAGUAUUUAAACGCAGUGAUUAAAGAGACGCUGAGAUUACACCCUUCUGUUCCCCUAUUACUUCCAAGAGAAUGCGGAGAGAAGUGCGAGAUUGGUGGAUAUGAUAUACCUGUGAAAUCCAAGGUAAUCGUCAAUGCGUGGGCUAUCGGUAGAGAUCCCAAGUACUGGACUGAGCCUGAGAGGUUUAAACCAGGGAGGUUCCAUUGCAGCUCCAUUGAUUACAAGGGAACAAACUUCGAAUACAUCCCGU
rnacentral:lncRNA from 1 species